AAUGAACGCUGGCGGCAGGCCUAACACAUGCAAGUCGAGCGGAUGAAGGGGGAUUGCUCCUGGAUUCUGCGGGGGACGGGUGGGUAAUGCCUAGGUGUCUGACUGGACUAGGGGGCUAACGUCCGGACACGGGCGCUGAUCUAGCAUACGACCAGAUGGAGAAAGGGGGGGAUCUUCGGACAUCACGCGUUCAGCUGAGACUAGGUCGGAUUAGCUAGUUGGUGGGGUAAAGGGGUACCAAUGCGACGAUCCGUAACUGGUCUGAGAGGAUGAUCAGUCACACUGGAACUGAGACACGGUCCAGACUCCUACGGGAGGCAGCAGUGGGGAAUAUUGGACAAUGGGCGAAAGCCUGAUCCAGCCAUGCCGCGUGUGUGAAGAAGGUCUUCGGAUUGUAAAGCACUGUAAGUUGGGAGGAAGGGCAGUAAGUUAACACCUGGCUGUUUUGACGUUACCAACAGAAUAAGCACCGGCUAACUUCGUG
rnacentral:rRNA from 1 species